AUGCCAUAGCUGUACGGAAAGAACCAACUGUGCGCGCACGCACGGUACUUGCAGGCAGGACGGCACACUUUGCAUGGAGCGUGCGUUAAAUCAAAACAGAAACGGCGCGCAAAGAUCGAGGAGGGCCGGAGAGGAGGAUAAAGAUCGAGGAGCUCGGUAACAAUCACACUUUGGCGUGCCUACUCUAAAACAGAAGGGCCACUGCUAUCAUCGUAACAAGUGUUGCGUGCUGGAAGAAUUUGCGGAUUCACGGGUGGUGUUGGGUAAACGAGCGCGCAGGCGAUGGAGACUAAUGACCUGCCUGGUUAGUGACCAGAAAGACUCCGUCCUAAAACUAAAAGACACUCGAAUUCCGCUCGCUUGCCUCUGCUACCAUCGGUGAUUUGAUUCUACACAAAACAACCGACUGUCCUUGUCAAUACUCCUAACUGCCUCCUCGCUCUCUGGGGGGUGCUGAGAAGACUUUAGCAAUCACAUGGAGUGACGUCAUACAGGGCGACGGAAAAGGGACUGUAAACGAGAGAAAAGACUGUCAUCGAGUGUUUGCAAGACUGCAACUGAAUCGCAUCACCGAGAGGCAGGCAGAGGGCAAGUGCUCGGGGGCUUGAGGACGCCGCUUUAUAGCUGUGGAGAAAGAAAAUAAAAAGCUGCCUUUAACUGUAAAGUCUAGAUGGAUGUAAAAGAGGAGAUGUGUGAGGCUGACAUAAAUACCAUGGAGAUAACAACUGUGAGUAUUAAAGAGGAGGAGUGUGAAGGGGAACCUGUCCAUCCUAAACAGGAGAGCCUGCACAUUAAGGACGAGGAUUGUGAAUUUGGAUCAGUGGGCAUUAAAGAAGAGGCUGAAGAGAAGUGUGUCAGCCUUGAGACGCACAUCCAUACAACUAUGGAGAGUGUCAAGGAAGACGACCUUCAUGAUGGCUGUCAAGAUGGACAGGUGACCGGGCUAGUCUCUUCUCAAAGCAGACACUGCUCUUCUCCGAAGCCUACUAUUGGUGUGAAGUGCGAAUCAUUACAGUCUGAAACGAAGAGGACUGAGGGCAUUUCUCCUAUUAGAACUUUGGAAGAUCAGUCACCAUCUAAAAAUCAGUCUAGAAGAAAUUAGCAGUGGCUGGCUCCUUUUAAACAGGUCCUGGGAAUGUUCCAGGUGAUUCAUCAGCAUUACCUGGAAUCACUCCCAGGUGUAAUGGAAAUCCAUUGCCAGACUCCCCCUGGAGACCCCAUGGGAGAACCAACAAGGCUGCAUGAAAGACUCACUACCUGUCUGCUCUGGAGGGACCCAUGGUGAUACAGCUUCCCAGGUGAGCUGUCCUCCUUUAUCCUGCUGACGUACUGGCCAGACAAUGACCGUGGACCCCCAACACAGGAUAGAAGUGGCAGAAAUGAGUUUAUUUCAGAGUGUCUACGGGUCCCCCCCUAGAGAGAGUGUGAGAAGCGCAGACAUUUUGGAGGAGCUCAAAAUAGAGUUGGUGCUUUUCCGCAUUGAAAGGAGCCAGUUGAGGGAGUUUGGGUAUCUGAUUAGUAUGCUUCCUGGACACCUAUUUGUGGAGGUGUUUUGGGUAUGUCCAACUGGAAGGAAACCUCAGGGCAGACCCCAAACACUCUCAUCUGGCCUGAGAACACCUUUUAUAUCCCCGUGGAGAAGGUGGUGGAGAAAAGGGAUGUCUGGGCAUCAUUGCUUAGAUUGCUGACCCAGACUAGGAUAAGCAGAAUAAAAUGGCUGGAUGCUGGCUUAACAUAGGUUGAAUUUCUAACAUUUAUGCUAUGGCAUCACAUUUAUGAGUGCUUUGUUAUUCUCAGCCUCGACAGAUGUGCUGUUGAGUUCUGAGUGUCUGUUCUGGACGCAAGUUGGUAACCUGGGUGACAAUGAAACUAAAUUUUGAUUUCUUAGUGAAGCUGUCAAUUUAAUCCUUAUUGUUUAGUGAGCAAUGAGAUUAACACGGUCUGUUGGCUUUGCACUUCCUUGUGUGUGUGCCAACAACUAUUCAAAGUAUUGACUGUGCAGACCUACUUUCUUGCACCCACAAUGGAAAAGAUGUGGAGGGAUGUGAUUGUCAAGAAUGAUCUGCCCGAUCCGAGUCUGAGUUUUUAGUUGUUAUUAAAUUUUUGUGGUAGUCAGGAAUUGUCUAUAACAAACACCAUAUUUGAUCAUACACUUACCUAGUAACAAAGUACCUUGGGCCAGAUGUUAAUGAUCAGUGGUAGUUUUGUUGCCUACUCUGUCACCACACAUUCUGGUCAGUAUUGCUGACUUGUCGGUUGAUCACCAUUUGGUACUGAACUGACUCAGGUGGAUGAACCAAAUGGGCAGUGAAAGCCUCUUUCCAAAAUAAAAUUAAAUUCUACAGGUACAGCUGAGAAACCAUGGGACUGAGCAGUAGGGCCUAAUGAGGUGGUGAACAUUGAGAAGAGCAGAGGACCCAGCACCAGUCCCUGGGGCACCCUCAUUCAUUUACAUACAAUAAAUACAAAAUAAAAUGAAGAAAGAGGCAAUAAAACAACAUAUUUGAUUUUGAAUAACAUAAAUAAAUGAAAGUUCAUGGCUUUAGCCAUACUAAUAAAGAGUACAAGCAAGCCAGUCCUGGCAUGACCUGCCAUUCCCAGAGCUCCAAAAAUGGCACACAUAACUGGUGAUCCCAUGUUUUCUCAUCCUCUACUUUUUCUCCCAGACCCCUAGAACUCCUGCAUGCCUGUGCGUUAAUUGGUCACGUUCUUCAAUCCUUUUUCUGUCUUUGGGAAUUUAAAUAGCCAUUUUGCUACAUACCUUUCAUGUUAGUGGCUUUAGUGUAAUUGUAAACAAAUGUCUGAUUAUUUUUAAAGGUAUGUUUCAUGUACUUGGUAUGUCACUCUGUUGUACGAAUAAAAUUUCUUCAGUAUUAUGAUAUGUAGUGAUUAUAACAUUUUUCUUACUUAAAUAAAAUAUGAGCAACACGUAAUUUUGAAUAAUAUUUUAAGAACAUAAUGAGAAAUAGAUGAUGCAGUUCUACAAUAUAGCUAUAAAAUGUGACCCAUAAUGUUAUAAAUUGACCUAGCAUAUAUCCUCUAACUAGCUUACUAUGAGUAAUUAAGUGUCUUUCUCCAUGCAUUUUCAAGAUUGCUUAUGCUUUUAGAAUGUUGUUCCUAAUUUCAGCUAGCAUUUAUUUAAUGAUGUGACUAAUGAUGUGUACUUUAAUAUCAAUAAUAGAUCAGCAGGUUGAAAAAUAAGCUUUUAAUGUUCCUUUUAAAUUUCAUACAGGAGACAAAUCUCACUGCUGUUCUAAAUGUGGCAAACAAUUUUCUCCUUUAAGAAAUCUUCAGGGUUGUACAAGAAUUAAUGCUGGACAGAAAGUAUAUUGCUGUUUGGAAUGUCGCAAACAAUUCCUUGACAAAAGUUCUCUUCAGAAAAGCCCUGGCAUUCACACAGGAGAGAAACCGUAUUGCUGUUCUGAAUGUGGCAAACACUUUUCAUUGAAGUGCACCCUUCAGAGACACACAAGAACUCACACCAGAGAGAAGCCAUAUUGCUGUAUGGAAUGCGGCAAACAAUUUUCUUUGAAGAGCAACCUUCAAAGACACACUAGAAUUCACUUCGAAGAUGAGAUGUAUUGUUGUUCUGAAUGUGGGAAACGAUUCUCCCAAAUUGAGAAUCUUCAGACCCACACAAGAAUUCACACCGGAGAGAAGCCCUUUUGCUGUUCUGAAUGCGGCAAACAGUUUACAGCCAAGAGCAGUUUUCAGAGCCACAAAAGAAUCCAUACGGGAGAGAAGCCGUAUUACUGUUCGGAAUGUGGUAAGCGGUUUUCUCAGUGGAGCAGUCUUCAG